GGUAAUUAGUUUAAAUAAAACAAGUGAUUUCGACUCACUAGAUUAUGGUAGCAGCCAUAAUUAUCG
rnacentral:tRNA from 1 species